rnacentral:rRNA from 1 species
AUGGAGAUGAAACCCAAAAGGUUUUCGUUGGGGCGUAACCCUCUCAGCGACGCGCCACAUCGGAACCCGGGUGUGGUGGAAAAUGGGCAAGGGUCGGGCCGUCACCCCCCAAGUGGCGCGCCGUAUCUUGAUCCGGAUACGGUGGCAAGUGAGCGAGGAUCGGGUCGUCGCAUCCUUAGUGGCGCGCUACAUCGGCGCCCGGGUGUAGUGGAAAAUGAGCAAGGGUCUUCGCAUUUGACUCGACGAGUGCGAAGGGUAAGGAAGCUAGCCGAGCCUAGGAGGAUUUGCUUAGGUAGCUGGAACGUAGGGUCUCUGACAGGGAAGCUUCGGGACCUAGUUGAUGCAGCGGUGAGGAGAGGUGUUGAUAUCCUUUGCGUCCAAGAAACCAAAUUGAGAGGACAGAAGGCGAAGGAGGUGGAGGAUACCGGCUUCAAGCUGUGGUACACGGGGACGACUGCAAACAGAAAUGGCGUAGGCAUCUUGAUCAACAAGAGCCUCAAGUAUGGAGUGGUAGACAUCAAGAGACGUGGGGACCGGAUUAUCCUGGUCAAGCUGGUAGUUGAGGACUUGGUUCUCAAUGUUAUCAGCGCGUAUGCCCCGCAAGUAGGCCACAAUCAGAACACCAAGAGGGAGUUCUGGGAAGGCCUGGAAGACAUGGUUAGGAGUGUACCGAUUGAUGAGAAGCUCUUCAUAGGAGGAGACCUCAAUGGCCACGUGGGUACAUCUAACACAGGUUUUGAAGGGGCGCAUGGGGGCUUUGGCUAUGGCAUCAAGAAUCAAGAAGGAGAAGAUGUCUUAAGCUUUGCUCUAGCCUACAAUAUGAUUGUAGCUAACACCCUCUUUAGAAAGAGAGAAUCACAUCUAGUGACUUUUAGUAGUGGCCAACACUCUAGCCAGAUUGAUUUCAUCCUCUCGAGAAGAGAAGAUAGGCGUGCGUGCCUAGGCUGUAAGGUGAUACCUGGAGAGAGUGUUGUACCCCAGCAUAAGCUUGUGGUUGCUGACUUCCGCUUUCGGAUUCGUGUCCAGCGGGAUAAGUGUGCCAAAGUCGCUAGAACGAAGUGGUGGAAGCUCAAGGGGGAGGUAGCUCAGGUGUUCAAGGAGAGGGUCAUUAAGGAGGGCCCUUGGGAGGAAGGAGGGGAUGCGGACAAUGUGUGGAUGAAGAUGGCGGCUUGCAUUCGAAAGGUGGCCUCGGAGGAGUUUGGAGUGUCCAGGGGAAGGAGAAGCAAAGAUAAGGAUACCUGGUGGUGGAAUGAUGACGUCCAGAAGGCGAUUAAAGAGAAGAAAGAUUGCUUCAGACGCCUAUACCUGGAUAGGAGUGCAGAC